rnacentral:rRNA from 1 species
AUUGAACGCUGGCGGCAUGCCUUACACAUGCAAGUCGAACGGUAACAGGUCUUCGGAUGCUGACGAGUGGCGAACGGGUGAGUAAUACAUCGGAACGUGCCUAGUAGUGGGGGAUAACUACUCGAAAGAGUGGCUAAUACCGCAUGAGAUCUACGGAUGAAAGCAGGGGAUCGCAAGACCUUGUGCUACUAGAGCGGCCGAUGGCAGAUUAGGUAGUUGGUGGGAUAAAAGCUUACCAAGCCGACGAUCUGUAGCUGGUCUGAGAGGACGAUCCGCCACACUGGGACUGAGACGCGGCCCAGACUCGUAGGGGAGGCAGCAGUGGGGAAUUUUGGACAAUGGGCGAAAGCCUGAUCCAGCAAUGCCGCGUGCAGGAUGAAGGCCUUCGGGUUGUAAACUGCUUUUGUACGGAACGAAAAGCCCCGGGUUAAUACCCUGGGGUCAUGACGGUACCGUAAGAAUAAGCACCGGCUAACUACGUGCCAGCAGCCGCAGUAA